rnacentral:rRNA from 1 species
UGGGGAAUAUUGCACAAUGGGCGGAAGCCUGAUGCAGCAACGCCGCGUGCGGGAUGACGGCCUUCGGGUUGUAAACCGCUUUCAGUAGGGACGACGCGCAAGUGACGGUACCUACAGAAGAAGCACCGGCUAACUACGUGCCAGCAGCCGCGGUGAUCCGUAGGGUGCGAGCGUUGUCCGGCAUUAUUGGGCGUAAAGAGCUUGUAGGCGGUUGGUUGCGUCGUAAGUGAAAACUCAGGGCUUAACCCUGGGCUUGCUUUCGAUACGG